UGGGGAAUCUUCCGCAAUGGGCGCAAGCCUGACGGAGCAACGCCGCGUGCGGGAAGACGGCCUGUGGGUUGUAAACCGCUUUUCUCAGGGAAGAAGAACUGACGGUACCUGAGGAAUCAGCAUCGGCUAACUCCGUGCCAGCAGCCGCGGUAAUACGGAGGAUGCAAGCGUUAUCCGGAAUUAUUGGGCGUAAAGCGUCCGCAGGCGGCUUAUCAAGUCUGCUGUUAAAGGUCGGGGCUCAACUCCGGUUCGGCAGUGGAAACUGAGAAGCUAGAGUGCAGUAGGGGUAGAGGGAAUUCCCAGUGUAGCGGUGAAAUGCGUAGAUAUUGGGAAGAACACCAGUGGCGAAGGCGCUCUACUGGGCUGCAACUGACGCUGAGGGACGAAAGCUAGGGGAGCGAAAG
rnacentral:rRNA from 1 species